rnacentral:rRNA from 1 species
UGGGUUAGUGGCGGACGGGUGAGUAACGCGUGGGUAACCUGCCUUACACAGGGGGAUAACACUUAGAAAUAGGUGCUAAAACCGCAUAAGCGCACAGCUUCGCAGGAAGCGGUGUGAAAAACUCCGGUGGUGUAAGAUGGACCCGCGUCUGAUUAGCUUGUUGGCGGGGUAACGGCCCACCAAGGCGACGAUCAGUAGCCGGCCUGAGAGGGCGGACGGCCACAUUGGGACUGAGACACGGCCCAGACUCCUACGGAAGGCAGCAG